GCGAAAGUGGCGGAAUUGGUAGACGCACUGGAUUUAGGUUCCAGCGCCGCAAGGCGUAAGAGUUCGAGUCUCUUCUUUCGCACCA
rnacentral:tRNA from 3 species